GUGAGAUUAGCUCCGCCUUCCCAAUGGCGUCUCUCCCAGAGCUGGAUCUUCCUGGUUGGGGUCAAACUGGUGUAUUUGCUGCCUAGCUCUCUAGCAAGGGCUUCAGUUUGAAUUCUGUGAAGAGCAGGAAACUGGAAGUCUGAAAGUUAAGAAGCCUAUUCAGGGCCUCAGCCAGUCACUGGAAGGACUGCUAGUAAAACCUGGUGUGGUUCUCCCUCCUCUCUCCACAAGGUCUCUUAUUGCAGUAGAUGAACUUGGUGAAGCAGGAUCCUCACCUCUUGGCUGUUACAGUGUCUAAGAUCAUCCUUGUUUUUGAUGAACUUGAUAGUUUUAAGGAACACUGGUUGGAUGUUUUGUAGGAUAUCUCAAUUUGGGUUUAUCUGAUCUGUCAUUUUCAGAGGUGGUGCCAUUGCCAAUUACCCCAGCAUACUCCAGGGACAGAAGCCAGGGUGAGGUAGACUGCAUGGUUUUGCUAGCUGCACUUACAAAGCCGUCAUCUGGAUCAUAUAACCUCUGCAGAAGCUGGACUACCGUACUCUUCCCACUGCCAUUGGGACCGACCAAGGCGACUGUCUCUCCAGACUUAAUUCUGAGAUUCAGACCCUUCAGAAUCUAUUGGAAUGUAUGGAGGGAAAAUCAUAAAACUGCAGUAGGAAUAUGACGAACACAUUUUCAGAAAAUGAAUAUAUAAUUAUAAACCAAAACAAAUUCUUCUGUGGAACUUAAAAAAAAAUGAGAUCUUGUUAUGUUUGUUUCAUGUACAUGUAUAAUAAUAGCUUAAAUAACUUAUAAAAAUAAUAGUAAAAUAAUCUCUCAUUAUCUCUCUCUCUAAAUAAGAGAUCUAAAUUAAGAGUACUCUCAGAAUAUUAACUAGUAAACUGUCCACAUUUUCAACUAAAAUGUUUUAUAUGAAUUUUGACUAUCAAGUUAAUGAAAGUCUUGUCCUAAUUUGUAACAAGUGAAUGAAAUCUUGCCAGAUAUUGUCACAAGCUAUUUAAGGAAGCUCCUUCUUGGAAUAUACUAACAUAAUUGCAAAGCAUAUUUUAAAGUGAAACAACUGGCAGAGUUUCUCAGGGACUCCCAAUAGAUGAUAGUUUAUCAUUAGAAACCCUGGUAGGUCUCAUGGUGACCUAUGAGGAAACAUUUUAAACAUUUGCUCAAUGACUGGAGUUGCUACAGCAUUUAGCG